rnacentral:rRNA from 1 species
UCGAUCAUGGCUCAGAUUGAACGCUGGCAGGAUGCUUUACACGCUGCAGUCGAACGGCAGCACGGACUUCGGUCUGGUGGCGAGUGGCGAACGGGUGAGUAAUGUAUCGGAACGUGCCUAGUAGCGGGGGAUAACUACGCGAAAGCGUAGCUAAUACCGCAUACGCCCUUCUGGAAAGCGGGGACCUUCGGGCCUCGCACUAAUGGAAACGGCCGAUAUCGGAUUAGCCUGGUUGGUCAGAAUGGCUCGCAAGGCGACGAUCCGUAGCUGGUUUGAGAGGACAUUCCAAUACACUGGGACUGAGACACGGCCCAGACUCCUACGGGGAGGCAGCAGUGGGGAAUUUUUGGACAAUGGGGAAACCCUGAUCCAGCCGUCCGUGUGCGAUGAAGCCAUGGAUCUCAACACUUUGGCGAGAAAGAAACGGCGGAUAAUACCCGUGCAACUGACGAAGUACCUGCAGAAUAAGCACCGGCUAACUACGUGCCAGCAGCCGCGGUAAUACGUAGGGUGCAAGCGUUAAUCGGAAUUAGUUCGGCGUAAAGCGUGCCGUGGUUCGGAAGAAAAGAUGAAAUCCCAGAGCUUAACUUUGGAACUUGUUUUAACUACCGAGCUAGAGUGUGUCAGAGGAGAGUGGAAUUCCGUGUAGCAGUGAAAUGCGUAGAUAUGCGGAGGAACACCGAUAGCGAAGCAGCCUCCUGGGAUAACACUGACGCUCAUGCACGAAAGCGUGGGAGCAGAAGCAAGUUAGAUACCCUGGUAGUCCACGCUAAACGAUGUCAACUAGCUGUUGGGGCCUUCGGCCUUGGUAGCGCAGCUAACGCCGUGAAGUUGACCGCCUGGAAGUACAGUCGCAAGAUUAAAACUCAAAGGAAUUGACGGGGACCCGCACAAGCGGUGGAUGAUGUGGAUUAAUUCGAUGCAACGCGAAAAACCUUACCUACCGCGGCUCCGGAAUCCCGAAGAGAUUUGGGAGUGCCGCAAGAGAACCGGAACACAGGUGCUGCAUGGCUGUCUCGUCAGCUCGUGUCGUGAGAUGUUGGGUUAAGUCCGCAACGAGCACAGCCUUGUCGUGGAUUGCCGAAGGGCACUCUAAUGAGACUGCCGGUGACAAACCGGAGGAAGGUGGGGAUGACGUCAAGUCCUCAUGGCCCUUAUGGGUAGGGCUUCACACGUCAUACAAUGGUCGGGACAGAGGGUCGCCAACCCACGAGGGUCAAUCCGAAACCCGAUCGUAGUCCGGAUCGCAGUCUGCAACUCGACUGCGUGAAGUCAGAAUCGCUAGUAAUCGCGGAUCAGCAUGUCGCAGUGAAUACGUUCCCAGGUCUUGUACACACCGCCCGUCACACCAUGGGAGUGGUUUACAAGUAGUUAGCCCUAACCGUAAGGAGGGCGAUUACCACGGUAGGAUUCAUGACUGGGGUGAAGUCGUAACAAGGUAG